rnacentral:rRNA from 1 species
CGCGCAGGCGGCUCGUUAAGUCCAAGGUGAAAUCCCACGGCUCAACUGUGGGGGGACCCUGGAUACUGGCGGGCUGGAGUGCGGGAGAGGGAAGCGGAAUUCCACAUGUAACGGUGAAAUGUAUAGAUAUGUGGAGGAACACCGGUGGCGAAGGCGGCUUCCUGGACCGUAACUGACGCUGAGGCGCGAAAGCUGGGGGAGCGAACAG